UACGUAGGGGGCAAGCGUUGUCCGGAAUUAUUGGGCGUAAAGGGCGGGUAGGCGGCCACCGCAAGUCAGUUGUGAAAUCUCCGGGCUUAACCCGGAAAGGUCAACUGAUACUGCGGGGCUAGAGUGCAGAAGGGGCAACUGGAAUUCUCGGUGUAGCGGUGAAAUGCGUAGAUAUCGAGAGGAACACCUGCGGCGAAGGCGGGUUGCUGGGCUGACACUGACGCUGAACUGCGAAAGCUAGGGGAGCGAACGGG
rnacentral:rRNA from 1 species